rnacentral:tRNA from 1 species
GAGGAUAUAGCUCAAGUGGUAGAGUGCCUGCUUUGCAUGCAUGAGGCCCUGGGUUCUAUCCCCAGUACCUCCU